rnacentral:rRNA from 1 species
AUUGAACGCUGGCGGCAGGCUUAACACAUGCAAGUCGAGCGGAGCGAGGGUGCUUGCACCUUAGCUUAGCGGCGGACGGGUGAGUAAUGCUUAGGAAUCUGCCUAUUAGUGGGGGACAACAUUCCGAAAGGAAUGCUAAUACCGCAUACGCCCUACGGGGGAAAGCAGGGGAUCUUCGGACCUUGCGCUAAUAGAUGAGCCUAAGUCGGAUUAGCUAGUUGGUGGGGUAAAGGCCUACCAAGGCGACGAUCUGUAGCGGGUCUGAGAGGAUGAUCCGCCACACUGGGACUGAGACACGGCCCAUACUCCUACGGGAGGCAGCAGUGGGGGAUAUUGGACAAUGGGCGGAAGCCUGAUCCAGCCAUGCCGCGUGUGUGAAGAAGGCCUUUUGGUUGUAAAGCACUUUAAGCGAGGAGGAGGCUACUUAGAUUAAUACUCUGGGAUAGUGGACGUUACUCGCAGAAUAAGCACCGGCUAACUCUGUGCCAGCCGCCGCAGUAACAC